rnacentral:lncRNA from 1 species
UAUCCUCCUAUCUGAGUCCUGCAUACCUCUCCAAAACUUCAGCAUUAUACACCGCUACUUAUCGCGGUCAAGGUAUAGCUUUAUGGGUGCAGUUGAUGAACCUGGUCCUUAUGGGAGAGGACGCUACGAAGAAAACAUGGCACCUGAGAUCAACAUCAGUGACUGGCGUAAGGGGUCUCAGUGGUUCGAAAUUAACCGAGAACUGGCAGUUAGAAUAGUUGAAGACAAUACUUACUAUCCAAAACUCAGAGAAUUCUGCACUCCACACAAAUGCUAUGUUGACGAACACUAUUUUCAGACGAUGUUAACCAUUAAUACUCCUCAUCUUUUGGCGAAUCGGAGCCUCACCUACGUGGAUUGGUCAAGAGGUGGUGCUCACCCUG